rnacentral:lncRNA from 1 species
CAUCCUUCCACUACUCCAGCUCAAGCACGCUUAACUCUGGAGUUCUUUCAGGAUGUGCUCCGGAAAAGGUAAGUCAACUUUGGUGACAUAGGUAGCCAAAUCAAUUCUCUUAAGCCUUUUCACAUAUCACAACUCGGGAUGUUACAAUUCACCCCCUCUCAAAGAACGCAACGUCCUCGUUGCGCCCCACGACAGGUCUCAAGACGCCUCUCAGGUCAGAACUGAGAUGGCUAACCAGCUCUGAUACCACUUAUAACGCCCCGACCGCCCACAGCUAAUGGGCCACCCACGCCCGCUCUCUCGGCCCGUGGGCCC